GCCACAUUAUGUUGAAAACCCGGUUACUUUACGAUCUCUGAAGUUAAGCAACGUCAAACCUGGUUAGUACUUAGAUGGGUGAACGCUUGGGAAUGCAAGGUGCUGUGA